rnacentral:rRNA from 1 species
UACGUAGGGGGCUAGCGUUGUCCGGAUUUAUUGGGCGUAAAGAGCUCGUAGGCGGUUUGUCGCGUCUGCUGUGAAAACUCGGGGCUUAACUCCGGGCCUGCAGUGGGUACGGGCAGACUAGAGUGCGGUAGGGGAGACUGGAAUUCCUGGUGUAGCGGUGAAAUGCGCAGAUAUCAGGAGGAACACCGGUGGCGAAGGCGGGUCUCUGGGCCGUAACUGACGCUGAGGAGCGAAAGCGUGGGGAGCGAACAGG